rnacentral:rRNA from 1 species
GAACACCAGUGGCGAAGGCGACUUACUGGGCCGUAACUGACGUUGAUGCGCGAAAGUNGGGGAGCGAACAGGAUUAGAUACCCUGGUAGUCCACGCCGUAAACGAUGAGUGCUAGGUGUAGCGGGUAUCGACCCCUGCUGUGCCGGAGUUAACACAAUAAGCACUCCGCCUGGGGAGUACGGCCGCAAGGUUGAAACUCAAAGGAAUUGACGGGGGCCCGCACAAGCAGCGGAGAAUGUGGUUUAAUUCGAAGCAACGCGAAGAACCUUACCAGGUCUUGACAUCGAGGCAAAGCCUNAGAGAUACGGUGUUCAGCAAUGAGGCCGAAGACAGGUGGUGCAUGGUUGUCGUCAGCUCGUGUCGUGAGAUGUUGGGUUAAGUCCCGCAACGAGCGCAACCCUUAUUGUCAGUUACUAACGGGUAAAGCUGAGGACUCUGACGAGACUGCCGGGGACAACUCGGAGGAAGGUGGGGACGACGUCAAAUCAUCAUGCCCCUUAUGACCUGGGCUACACACGUGCUACAAUGGUGGUUACAGAGAGGAGCGAGCCCGCGAGGGGGAGCGGAUCUCAAAAAAGCCAUCUCAGUUCGGAUUGUGGGCUGCAACCCGNCCACAUGAAGUUG